rnacentral:rRNA from 1 species
GAUGAACGCUGGCGGCGUGCCUAAUACAUGCAAGUCGAGCGAACAGAUGAGGACCUUGCUCCUCUGACGUUAGCGGCGGACGGGUGAGUAACACGUGGAUAACCUACCUAUAAGACUGGGAUAACUUCGGGAAACCGGAGCUAAUACCGGAUAAUAUAUUGAACCGCAUGGUUCAAUAGUGAAAGACGGUUUUGCUGUCACUUAUAGAUGGAUCCGCGCCGCAUUAGCUAGUUGGUAAGGUAACGGCUUACCAAGGCAACGAUGCGUAGCCGACCUGAGAGGGUGAUCGGCCACACUGGAACUGAGACACGGUCCAGACUCCUACGGGAGGCAGCAGUAGGGAAUCUUCCGCAAUGGGCGAAAGCCUGACGGAGCAACGCCGCGUGAGUGAUGAAGGUCUUCGGAUCGUAAAACUCUGUUAUUAGGGAAGAACAAAUGUGUAAGUAACUAUGCACGUCUUGACGGUACCUAAUCAGAAAGCCACGGCUAACUACGUG